rnacentral:rRNA from 1 species
CUGAGUACGGCGGAACACGUGAAAUUCCGUCGGAAUCCGGGAGGACCAUCUCCCAAGGCUAAAUACUCCCUAGUGACCGAUAGUGAACCAGUACCGUGAGGGAAAGGUGAAAAGCACCCCGGAAGGGGAGUGAAACAGUUCCUGAAACCGUGUGCCUACAAGUAGUUAGAGCCCGUUAAUGGGUGAUAGCGUGCCUUUUGUAGAAUGAACCGGCGAGUUACGAUUUGUUGCAAGGUUAAGCGGAAAAAGCGGAGCCGUAGCGAAAGCGAGUCUGAAUAGGGCGCAUAAGUAACAGGUCGUAGACCCGAAACCAGGUGAUCUACCCAUGUCCAGGAUGAAGGUAAGGUAAUACUUACUGGAGGUCCGAACCCACGCACGUUGAAAAGUGCGGGGAUGAGGUGUGGGUAGCGGAGAAAUUCCAAUCGAACUUGGAGAUAGCUGGUUCUCUCCGAAAUAGCUUUAGGGCUAGCCUCGAGGUAAAGAGUCAUGGAGGUAGAGCACUGUUUGGACUAGGGGCCCUUCUCGGGUUACCGAAUUCAGAUAAACUCCGAAUGCCAUGUACUUAUACUCGGGAGUCAGACUGCGAGUGAUAAGAUCCGUAGUCGAAAGGGAAACAGCCCAGACCACCA